rnacentral:rRNA from 1 species
UACGAAGGGGGCUAGCGUUGUUCGGAAUUACUGGGCGUAAAGCGCGUGUAGGCGGAUUUUUAAGUCGGGGGGUGAAAUCCCAGAGCUCAACUCUGGAACUGCCUUCGAUACUGGGAAUCUGGACCCAAGUAGAGGCGAGUGGAAUUGCGAGUGUAGAGGUGAAAUUCGUAGAUAUUCGCAGGAACACCAGUGGCGAAGGCGACUCGCUGGACUUGUGGUGACGCUGAGACGCGAAAGCGUGGGUAGCAAACAGG